AUGAUUACCACUACUCAUUA
rnacentral:snRNA from 1 species